rnacentral:rRNA from 1 species
UACGUAGGGUGCUAGCGUUGUUCGGAAUUAUUGGGCGUAAAGAGCUCGUAGGCGGUGUGUCGCGUCGGCCGUGAAAACCUGCAGCUUAACUGUGGGCUUGCGGUCGAUACGGGCAUCACUGGAGUUCGGCAGGGGAGACUGGAAUUCCUGGUGUAGCGGUGAAAUGCGCAGAUAUCAGGAGGAACACCGGUGGCGAAGGCGGGUCUCUGGGCCGAUACUGACGCUGAGGAGCGAAAGCGUGGGGAGCGAACAGG